GACGUAGGGCGCGAGCGUUGUCCGGAUUUAUUGGGCGUAAAGAGCUCGUAGGCGGCUUGUUGCGUCGACUGUGAAAACCCGCGGCUUAACCGCGGGCUUGCAGUUGAUACGGGCAGGCUAGAGUUCGGUAGGGGAGACUGGAAUUCCUGGUGUAGCGGUGAAAUGCGCAGAUAUCGGGAGGAACACCAGUAGCGAAGGCGGCACUCUGGGCCGUGACUGACGCUGAGGAGCGAAAGCGUGGGUAGCAAACAGG
rnacentral:rRNA from 1 species